GAUGAACGCUAGCGGCAGGCCUAAUACAUGCAAGUCGAGGGGUAACAGAGAGUGCUUGCACUUUGCUGACGACCGGCGCACGGGUGAGUAACGCGUAUGCAACCUACCUUUUACUGGGGAAUAGUCAAGAGAAAUUUUGAAUAAUACCCCAUACGAUCUUUAAAUAUCAUUAUUUUAGAAGAAAACUUCGGUGGUAAAAGAUGGGCAUGCGUCCUAUUAGUUGUUGGUAAGGUAAUGGCUUACCAAGACUUCGAUAGGUAGGGGCCCUGAGAGGGGGAUCCCCCACACUGGUACUGAGACACGGACCAGACUUCUACGGAAGGCAGCAGUAAGGAAUAUUGGACAAUGGAGGAAACUCUGAUCCAGCCAUGCCGCGUGCAGGAUGAAUGCCCUAUGGGUU
rnacentral:rRNA from 1 species